AUGACAAGGAAGAGAUUGAGGACGAGGACAAGAGGGAGGAAGAGGAGAAAUAUGGUGAGGAUAUGUGAUGUUCGUAAUUCUUUUGUAAUUCUUGAAUUUUGUAGUGUUUGGAUAAUUUUGUUAUUUGUCUGGUUUUUCAAUUUCAAACAUUAUUUUUCUUUCUCUCUUAUUUUAAUGUUCUUCCUCUCGUUUCAUUGCUUCGUUGUUUAUGUUUCUUGGAAUUUUUAUUUCGCUGGACAUAGUUGUUACAUUCUUUGA